CAACCCUAUAUCUUUGUCACAUUCUGUGACAAAUUUUACUGCAGUCAGAUCAUUGAUUUUUAAAAUAAAUCAACAAUUUACUUUUUAAAAAAAUGUGAACAAUAGUAAAAUGUUAGUACGUACAAAAUGUAAUUUUUUUUUAAAUUUCUAUCAAAAUAUGAUAGUUUUCGCCUGUUUUGUGUCAGUACAAACUCAACCAGAGUACUCAACAAGAUCAACUCAGCCAGGACCAUUCAAGAAAGUAGUUUACCAGAGCUCCAAAUCCAGUAAUGCCGUAAAUGAUUAUAUAACUGUACCAACAACAGCGAGACAAAUACCAGUAGAACUACAAGAUUUUUUAGUGAACAAAACCUCGAAUGAAAUGAAUUUGGAAGACUGCAUGGCUGAAUUAGUCGCCUGUAUGAAAGUUCACGUGCAUAAAGAAGGUAACAUUUGCGCUGUCAAUAAGCAUAGUGUAAAAAAGCGUUUUCAAAAUUUCUGCGAAAUGUUCUAUGAUAACUGCAAAGCAUACGAAGCUCGAUGGCACUACACUGAAGAUUCACAAUGUUGAAAAUAACCAUUAGUAUAAGAAUAAAUAUUUGGAAAAUA